rnacentral:rRNA from 1 species
AUUGAACGCUGGCGGCAGGCUUAACACAUGCAAGUCGAACGAGUGGCGGACGGGUGAGUAAUGCUUGGGAAUCUAGCUUAUGGAGGGGGAUAACUACGGGAAACUGUAGCUAAUACCGCGUACCAUAGGAUGAGCCCAAGUGGGAUUAGGUAGUUGGUGAGGUAAAGGCUCACCAAGCCGACGAUCUCUAGCUGGUAUGAGAGGAUGACUAGCCACACUGGGAAUGAGAACCGGCCCACACUCCUACGGGAGGCAGCAGUGGGGAAUAUUGCACAAUGGGCGCAAGCCUGAUGUGGCCAUGCCGCGGGUAUGAAGAAGGCCUUCGGGUUGUAAAGUACUUUAAGUCGGGAGGCGUUACCGACAGAAGAAGCACCGGCUAACUCCGUGCCAGCAGCCGCGGUAAUAC